CUCCCCUGGUCCGUCCAUCCGCCCUAAGGAAGAAGUUGACUGGGAAUCCUGCGGGCUUACCCCAUCCCACCCCUCUGCGAAACUCCCCAGGCGACAUAUGUUUGGGUAUCCUGCUGCUGGCCAGUCUUCUCUUGUUCCUCCUUGCCCAGAACAACUAUGUUUCAGCGAGCAUAGCUUCAAAGUUUAGGAGACUGA